GUCGAACGCUGGCGGCAGGCUUAACACAUGCAAGUCGAACGAGUGGCGGACGGGUGAGUAAUGUUUGGGAAUCCGGCUUAUGGAGGGGGACAACGACGGGAAACUGUCUCUAAUACCCCGUACCCUAGUGUGAGCCCAAGUGGGAUUAGUUAGUUGGUGGGGCAAUGGCCUACCAAGCCCACGACCUCUAGCUGGUCUGAGAGGAUGACCAGCCACACGGGGACUAAGACACGACCCGGACUCCUACGGGGGGCAGCAGGGGGGAAUAUUGCGCAAUGGGGGCAACCUGACGCAGCCAUGCCGCGUGAAUGAAGAAGGCCUUCGGGUUGUAAAGUUCUUUCGGUGAGGAGGCGUUAAUCACAGAAGAAGCACCGGCUAACUCCGUGCCAGCAGCCGCGGUAAUUC
rnacentral:rRNA from 1 species